CGAGCACGCGCGUGUGGCAUAUCAAUAAGCGGAGGAAAAGAAACUAACAAGGAUUCCCUUAGUAACGGCGAGUGAAGCGGGAAGAGCUCAAAUUUGAAAUCUUCAAGGUUCUACCUUGACGAAUUGUAGUUUAUAGAAGUGUUUUCUGUUAGUGGAGUGGCAAAAGUUCUUUGGAAUAGGACAUCAUAGAGGGUGAGAAUCCCGUAUUUGGUCAUUCCUCCUAGCGUUGUGAUACACUUUCAACGAGUCGGAUUGUUUGGGAAUGCAGUCCAAAAUGGGUGGUAAAUUUCAUCUAAAGCUAAAUAUUGGCGAGAGACCGAUAGCGAACAAGUACCGUGAGGGAAAGAUGAAAAGAACUUUGAAAAGAGAGUUAAACAGUACGUGAAAUUGUCAAAAGGGAAGCGUUUGACACCAGUGUUGUUUUUCCGAAAAUCAAUUACGAAUGUUUUGUUUUUGAGGAGUUAUGACUUCAUCGGCUUGCUUCUUUCUUUACGAAACUUUCUUAAUGCACUUUUCGGUUAACAAGUCAACAUCAAUUUCUUUUGUUGUAAAAGGGUAUGAGGAAGGUGGCUUUCUUUUCGGAGAAAGUGUUUAUAGCCUUGUGCCUCUGCAAUCGGAGAGAUUGAGGUCUGCAGCGUAGAUCCUUCGGGGUUAGAUACGUUUGUGCUAAGUUAUAGCUUUUCAUAGACAACUUGUUGACUAUGUUUAGUCUUGUAGCUUACUCGCUGACGCUAUUUUACCUACGCUUAGGAUGUUGAACUCUAUCACACACAG
rnacentral:rRNA from 1 species